rnacentral:misc_RNA from 1 species
UCUCCUCUGAUCAUUCCCCGUGAUAGUAACAGUCAGUUCAACUAUCAUCGAGAAUACACCUAAUGGCUCCAUUCAUAACCAACACACCAACUGGCAGCUCUUUAGAGAAAUCUUCACACACACAACUUCAGCCUCAACUUCACUAAAAACCAAUGAAGAAAUCGAAGCAGCCACGGAAUACCUAAACACGAGCAUAAUAAGCGCUAUCCGCUUCUCCACACCGGCAAUAACGUCCAUCAGCAAUCACGAAUACUCCCAGUACAUAUUAAAAAAAAUAGCAGAAAAACGUAGACUAAGAAGGAUAUGGCAGACCCAUAGAACACCGGAGGACAAACGCAAACUAAACAACGCAACUAGAAAACUAUCCAAAACCAUAAAAAACUAGAAUAAUGACCGUUUUCACAAAUAUCUCGCCAGCCUGUCCCCCACAGCCGACUCUAACUACUCACUAUGGAAAGCCUCCAGGAAACUCACGCGUCUCCCACAAAUAAUACCUCCAAUCCGUCGCCCGCAAGGCGGAUGGGCGCGUAGCCCUAUAGAAAAAGCCAACCUAUUUGCCAAACACUUGAC